rfam:Colinus virginianus strain Texas jcf7180006226751, whole genome shotgun sequence.
GUGAGGUGAUGAUGAAGUUUAUCCAUUCUCUGAGUGCGGUGGCACUGCCCUCCUGCAGCACCCCGAUUCCUGUUCUAGGGUCUGGGUGCCGUGCAGCCUCCAGAGGCCCCGCAGUCUCCCAGUGUCGUGCUGGGGGCUGCUGUGGUGUGUGGCUGGCUGCCUGCGGGAGCAAAGCAGUGCUGGCAGGGUCAGGGCCCCUCUUUGUGGGGGGGCCCUGUCCCCACUGAGACGAGGGAUGACAUCUGAUCGC